rnacentral:lncRNA from 1 species
UCGCCAUGGACUCAGUGGUCAUUACCAUGGGCUAUGAAGGCCUGGGCUCUCCCCAGCUCUGCCAUUUAUUGGCUGGUCAACAUUGAAAAAGAAACAUCUGUGCUUCCAUCUCACCAUCUGCGAAAUGGGGUAAUAACCCCCACCCCUACCACACCAGGUGGGGAGAACCGGAUGAGGCGGUGACAGGUGGGGAGAAUUGGAUGAGGCAGUGACAGCUUUCAGCUUCCCACGGUGCCAAAAG